GAUCCUGGCUCAGGACGAACGCUGGCGGCAUGCCUUACACAUGCAAGUCGAACGGACCUAGCAAUAGGUUAGUGGCGAACGGGUGAGUAAUACAUGAGCAACCUGCCUCAAACAGGGGGAUAACACCGGGAAACUGGUGCUAAUACCGCAUAAGACCACAGCGCGGCAUCGCGCAGGGUAAAACGGAAUUCAGUGGUUUGAGAUGGGCGUCAUGUCCCAUUAGCUAGUUGGUGAGAU
rnacentral:rRNA from 1 species